rnacentral:rRNA from 1 species
UACGGGGGGGGCAAGCGUUGUUCGGAAUUACUGGGCGUAAAGGGCUCGUAGGCGGCCAACUAAGUCAGACGUGAAAUCCCUCGGCUUAACCGGGGAACUGCGUCUGAUACUGGAUGGCUUGGAUUUGGGAGAGGGAUGCGGAAUUCCAGGUGUAGCGGUGAAAUGCGUAGAUAUCUGGAGGAACACCGGUGGCGAAGGCGGUCACCUGGACGGAUACUGACGCUGAGACGCGAAAGCGUGGGGAGCAAACAGG